rnacentral:lncRNA from 1 species
UUCUUGUUUUCUAGUCUUCCACACAAUCAUAUUCUGUUCACAUGCUUAGACGAUGCUCCUGGUAUUAGGAUUUCGGGUGAACUUUGCAAAGCUACAAAAACUCACACCAGAAUCUGCCUUAGCUUGUUUCAGGUAUAAUCCGAGACCAACAAACUGCUUUUCUACUGAGAAUUCUGUCUGCAAAAGAUGCGUUCUGGGCUGAAUCUCAAACCAUGAUUAGAUUAAAAAAAACACUGAUGUGCCUAUUAGCUAAUACGAAGGUCUUAACAGAGCUCUGUAUGUCUUACAGCAUAAGCGAUAUUUCAGCCCGUGAGCUAUUGCACAGUUGGAUCCAACAUCCUAAAAUGUUUGAGGAUACUGAAGCAGCUCACUCACCAAAGCGAGUUACUAUGGCACGAUAUACAUUAGACAAAUCUUGGGAACGGGACUCAGUGUUUUCCUAGCGUAGCCGGUGAUUCAGUUCUCCCCUAAGCCUGUUAGGGACACAUUCUCAUGUCCUUAAAUGUACAAGCAGAUAAUUGUUGGCGCUCUAUCUUUGUGUGAGGAGGCCAGGGUGUAAAUGGCUUUUAAUGACUGCAGCUGCUGGCUGAAAACUGUCAAUGGAAUUGGCUAAUUCAGAGCCCCCGAAUCUUGCGAGCUCUCUGCAUAGUGCCGCUGAAUCCGGACGAGCUGAACUAGAGAGUUACUGUCGAGGGGAGAGAUACCAAGCCAUGAUCGCCAGCAGCAGGGAAAGCAAACAAGAGGACUGGGAAAGCAAACCCCUCUCGACUCGGAAAAUCCUUUCCGGAUCCUCACAUUUCAAGAUCAUCACCGAGCUCAGCAUAGAUCUACAAGAAAAGGUCCUUCUUCUCUCUUGCCUUAACUUUUACAACCUCUGCAAACUCUGGUGAGCAGAGCUAGCGAGCAUUAGCUCACCAGUUUGUGGCCCUGUGCCUGCAGGAGGCUUUCUUCCCAGGAAGAGCCUGCGGACCCAGGCUGUAGACGAAGGACGAACUAAAAAAGUUGUUUCUUAACUCUGCACCCCAGAAGACAAGAGUUCGAACUUUUUCAAGAAUACUCGGGAAGGUAAGGUAAGGUAUAUUUGGAACAAGAUCACCCUCUGAUGGUCUCAUCCAUAAUAUAAUUUGCAUGUUUGUGUGUCUGAUAUGACCUCAACUGAAAACGACUAAAGAGAGAGAAGAAAUAGGGACAUCAACUGCGUUAACCUGAUUUUUUAAAAUUGUUCUUAAAAGAAUGCAGUAGAAACAACGUGUCAGAAACCAGAAGACAGAUGGGUC